rnacentral:rRNA from 1 species
UACGAGGGGGGCAAGCGUUGUUCGGAAUUAUUGGGCGUAAAGAGCGUGUAGGCGGUCUGGUAGGUCCGUUGUGAAAACUCGAGGCUCAACCUCGAGACGCCGAUGGAAACCAUCAGACUAGAGUCCGGAAGAGGAGAGUGGAAUUCCUGGUGUAGCGGUGAAAUGCGCAGAUAUCAGGAAGAACACCCGUGGCUAAGGCGGCUCUCUAGUACGGUACUGACGCUGAGACGCGAAAGCGUGGGGAGCGAACAGG